rnacentral:rRNA from 1 species
CAGCAGCCGCGGGAAAACGGAGGAUCCGAGCGUUAUCCGGAAUUAUUGGGUUUAAAGGGUGCGUAGGCGGAUAGAUAAGUCAGUGGUGAAAGACGGUGGCUCAACCAUCGCAGUGCCGUUGAUACUGUUUAUCUUGAAUAUGGAUGAGGUAGGCGGAAUGUGGCAAGUAGCGGUGAAAUGUAUAGAUAUGCCACAGAACACCGAUUGCGAAGGCAGCUUACCAAGGCAAAAUUGACGCUGAGGCACGAAAGCGUGGGGAUCGAACAGGAUUAGAUACCCGUGUAGUCCCUGUCUCUUAUAC